rnacentral:tRNA from 1 species
GCGGGGGUUUCCGAGCGGCCAAAGGAGCUGGGCUAAGGACCCAGUAGCUAAGUGCUUUCGCAGGUUCGAAGCCUAAUCCCUUUCUUUCAAAAAGAAAGGUCUAAGGUUUACCCCAAAUCGGAAAUCCUGCCUCCCGCA